rnacentral:rRNA from 1 species
UACGUAGGGGGCUAGCGUUGUCCGGAAUCAUUGGGCGUAAAGCGUGCGCAGGCGGUCUGUUAAGACCGAUGUGAAAUCCCCGGGCUUAACCUGGGAACUGCAUUUGUGACUGCAUGGCUGGAGUGCGGCAGAGGGGGAUGGAAUUCCGCGUGUAGCAGUGAAAUGCGUAGAUAUGCGGAGGAACACCGAUGGCGAAGGCAAUCCCCUGGGCCUGCACUGACGCUCAUGCACGAAAGCGUGGGGAGCAAACAGG